AAGUCGUAACAAGGUUUCCGUAGGUGAACCUGCGGAAGGAUCAUUAACGAAUUUGGGACUGAAAAGUCACCUAUUCCACACUAUGUUUUAAGUGUUUAUUUUUUGAUGAAUGAAUCAGAAAGACACGAAAACUGUUCAUAUCACAUAUGACAAUUUUAAAUACAAUUAAAAUUAAAACUUUCAACAACGGAUCUCUUGGUUCUG
rnacentral:misc_RNA from 1 species